GCUCCAGUUCCUCAUGAGUUAUGAUAACAUAUAAGCAGCUUAGAGAAUUCUUAUCGGAAUGAGUUGAACACAAUGCGACGUUUAACUCUUAAUGACAGCCACCUCUGACUGAGUGACACAUUAUAAAUUAUGUUUGAACUGGGUGUUUUUUUUCAGAGGCAGAUAUCCCCCUGCCACCCAGCCAGCCCUGCGAAGUUGCACUUGUGGCCUUAAUCCCACUUGGAUGUGUGCCCCGCUGCCUCCACUCUCCGUCACUCGGGUGCUUUAGUGUUCUUGAACAAGUGAACAAUCUUUGUUUCUGUACCUUAUUAGGCCAGAGACCAUAGCAGCGAGCGAUGGCAUCAGCAGGCCCCGCAGGCAGGAUUCUCUGCAGACACAGCCAACCUCCAACAAACCCCUUUUUAUCCUCCUGUUUCUAGGAAGAAUUAUGAUGGUGGUGCCCUGCUGUUGAUCAGUCAAAUCUGUGGUGGGCCUAGAGAUAAGUCCUAAUCUGGAAUAGUUUCACUCCGAACAACAAACGUGGACGCUGCUCAACGGGGAGGAGGAGGGGAACACAGCCACCCAGUGUUUGCAGACUCCAGCACAGCAAAGUGGUGGACUUGAGGAGCAGCUCUGGUGGCGAAGGGGCAGCGUGAGGCACUGCUGGCCCCAACUUCCCGCAGGUGUCCAUCCGGCACCCGAGGCCUCGAGCAGCACCGUGUCUGUGUCCUGUGCCAUACCCACAGCCCUGGAACCAUGCAAGGAGAAUGAAGUUUGUUCUAAACGUGAAUUUAAUGUGCUUUCAGAUUUGACAGCCUCUUUUAAAAGGAAACGUUUAAGUUGAGCGAAAGGCACAUUUGCUUCUCCAAAUAAAUGGAAUUAUAGUUCAAAGAU
rnacentral:lncRNA from 1 species